rnacentral:misc_RNA from 1 species
AUUCUAUUGAUCUUGACGAGUUCAUCAAUGGUAUCUCGAAAUGGAUUGAAGAGGCAAAGCGAGCAGGGGCAGCCAUAGCCAACUCUGGCUCUAAGACAUUUAAGCUUAUAAAUGAUUUUCAUGUGCAAACAAAGAGGGAACAUUCUCUUUUGGGGCCUGAGGAUCGAGUGGAGGAUCAAAGUGAUGAGGUCGUAGAGGGUGUUGAAAACCCCAGAUGGAUCUCCAUCAAAGCAGUAUUGAUGUUGUUAUUAGGAACCAUUAUUGCUGC